rnacentral:misc_RNA from 1 species
GAUGAAGAACGUAGUGAAAUGCGAUAAGUAAUGUGAAUUGCAGAAUUCAGUGAAUCAUCGAAUCUUUGAACGCACAUUGCGCCCGCCAGUAUUCUGGCGGGCAUGCCUGUUCGAGCGUCAUUUCAACCAUCAAGCCCCCGGCUUGUGUUGGGGACCUGCGGCUGCCGCAGGCCCUGAAAAGCAGUGGCGGGCUCGCUGUCACACCGAGCGUAGUAGAUUUCAUCUCGCUCAGGGCGUGCUGCGGGUUCCGGCCGUUAAACCCCCUUCAUAACCCAAGGUUGACCUCGGAUCAGGUAGGAAGACCCGCUGAACUUAAGCAUAUCAAUAAGCGGAGGA